UCUAGAAUUUCAGUAGAUUGAGUGAAGAGAGAAGAAAAGAUGGUAAUUGAUUUUUCUUUUUUUUUUUCUUUUCUGUUUAUAAUCGGGCCAAAUGGGCUGGGUGUGGUGGAUUGAGUAGAAUAAUCUUUUAUUUUUGGUUGGAUUGGGUUUUAUAUUUAGGCAUUAGUAGAUGUUUUUUUAAGUUUUAACAUAAAUGGGACACUUACUAAAAAGUGUCCCAAAUAUGUGUCCCUAUAACCUAAUUCUGUUGUAGUGUCAGUUUUAAUUCAAUUUUCUCAAACUGAUUUAGAUCA
rnacentral:lncRNA from 1 species